UACGAGGGGGGCAAGCGUUGUUCGGAAUUAUUGGGCGUAAAGGGUGCGUAGGCGGUUUGACAAGUCUAAUGUGAAAUCUAUGGGCUCAACCCAUAGUCUGCAUUGGAAACUGUCGGGCUUGAGUAUGGGAGAGGUGAGUGGAAUUUCCGGUGUAGCGGUGAAAUGCGUAGAUAUCGGAAGGAACACCUGUGGCGAAAGCGGCUCACUGGACCAUUACUGACGCUG
rnacentral:rRNA from 1 species